UUUGCAUAAGUAUUGUUACAU
rnacentral:piRNA from 1 species